GUUUUCGUAGUGUAGUGGUUAUCACGUGCGCCUAACACGUGCAAGGUCCCCAGUUCAAUCCCAGGCGGAAACU
rnacentral:tRNA from 1 species